rnacentral:rRNA from 1 species
UGCAAGUCGAACGGUGAAGCCCAGCUUGCUGGGUGGAUCAGUGGCGAACGGGUGAGUAACACGUGAGCAACCUGCCCCUGACUCUGGGAUAAGCGCUGGAAACGGCGUCUAAUACUGGAUAUGUGACGUGACCGCAUGGUCUGCGUUUGGAAAGAUUUUUCGGUUGGGGAUGGGCUCGCGGCCUAUCAGCUUGUUGGUGAGGUAAUGGCUCACCAAGGCGUCGACGGGUAGCCGGCCUGAGAGGGUGACCGGCCACACUGGGACUGAGACACGGCCCAGACUCCUACGGGAGGCAGCAGUGGGGAAUAUUGCACAAUGGGCGCAAGCCUGAUGCAGCAACGCCGCGUGAGGGAUGACGGCCUUCGGGUUGUAAACCUCUUUUAGCAGGGAAGAAGCGAAAGUGACGGUACCUGCAGAAAAAGCGCCGGCUAACUACGUGCCAGCAGCCGCGGUAAUACGUAGGGCGCAAGCGUUAUCCGGAAUUAUUGGGCGUAAAGAGCUCGUAGGCGGUUUGUCGCGUCUGCUGUGAAAUCCCGAGGCUCAACCUCGGGCCUGCAGUGGGUACGGGCAGACUAGAGUGCGGUAGGGGAGAUUGGAAUUCCUGGUGUAGCGGUGGAAUGCGCAGAUAUCAGGAGGAACACCGAUGGCGAAGGCAGAUCUCUGGGCCGUAACUGACGCUGAGGAGCGAAAGGGUGGGGAGCAAACAGGCUUAGAUACCCUGGUAGUCCACCCCGUAAACGUUGGGAACUAGUUGUGGGGUCCAUUCCACGGAUUCCGUGACGCAGCUAACGCAUUAAGUUCCCCGCCUGGGGAGUACGGCCGCAAGGCUAAAACUCAAAGGAAUUGACGGGGACCCGCACAAGCGGCGGAGCAUGCGGAUUAAUUCGAUGCAACGCGAAGAACCUUACCAAGGCUUGACAUAUACGAGAACGGGCCAGAAAUGGUCAACUCUUUGGACACUCGUAAACAGGUGGUGCAUGGUUGUCGUCAGCUCGUGUCGUGAGAUGUUGGGUUAAGUCCCGCAACGAGCGCAACCCUCGUUCUAUGUUGCCAGCACGUAAUGGUGGGAACUCAUGGGAUACUGCCGGGGUCAACUCGGAGGAAGGUGGGGAUGACGUCAAAUCAUCAUGCCCCUUAUGUCUUGGGCUUCACGCAUGCUACAAUGGUCGGUACAAAGGGCUGCAAUACCGUGAGGUGGAGCGAAUCCCAAAAAGCCGGUCCCAGUUCGGAUUGAGGUCUGCAACUCGACCUCAUGAAGUCGGAGUCGCUAGUAAUCGCAGAUCAGCAACGCUGCGGUGAAUACGUUCCCGGGUCUUGUACACACCGCCCGUCAAGUCAUGAAAGUCGGUAACACCUGAAGCCGGUGGCCUAACCUUUUUGGAG